GAACUGGGCGGUCCCCAGCGAACCAUCCCCAACAAAAAGCCCUGUUCUUUCCAAAAGGCUGAUGGGGUCUCCCCACAGAGUGUUCACACCCCGUCUCCUCGCUCCUGGUAAUUUCCGGAGUUUAAUGAAGUCCUUUGUGGGGGAAGCAAUUGGAUUUCAAUGACCUCCUCCCUGGAGCUCGCCCCAGUGAGCAGGAUCUACCGUCUCCACCUAGUUCUGAUUGACUGCUGCCGUGUAAGGCACCUGCCUUGUGACGGUCACUUGCUGCUGGCCAAUGCUCGGACCAAACUGCAAAGAUUGCUUUCCUAGCAGAUGCGGAUCCUACCCAGUGACUGCCUGGACCUCCCUGAAGGAACGAGAGCUGAGUGCACUGGAAGCUGAGCUGCUCAGUCAAGGGCAGGCGGCCACCUCAACGUGCAGCUGGUGUGUGUGGCCCAAGGAAUAGCCGCGUCAGCAUCACUCUGGAGCCAGAUAGCUAGCCGUGUGGCUUUAGAAAACAGUAGGGCCACUCCUCCCUGUUACCCGGCAGUUCCAAUUCUGGGUUUAUUCCCAAGGGAAGUGGGAGGGGGGCGGGGGACUCCAAGGGAUAUUGUACACCCGUGUUUGUGGCAGCCCUGGUCACAAUAGCCAAAAGGUACUCUGGGCAUGUGACGCACACUGGCUAAUCAGUAAUCAACGGAUGAACACAGACAAACAAAGUGCAGCUUAUCCGUAUGGAAUACUAUUCAGCUCUCACAGGAAGGAAAUUCUGCCAGCAGUGAUGGUGCACGCCUGUAAUCCCAGCGACCCCGGAGGCUGAGACAGGAGGAUCACAAGUUGGAGGCCAGCCUCAGCAAUUUAGCAAGAUCCUCAGAUUUAGUGAGAUCCAGUCUCUCUCUCUGGGCUAAGGAAAUCACCUUGUUAGCAGUAAGGUUCAGUAACUAUAAAUGCACCACCUCUCCAGUUGACCACACUUACCCCUCUGCCUUCUGUUUUAAUCCUGCAUUAUUAGACUUUUUUUCUUGGUUAGAAAAGCUUUUAAAUAAUAUUUCAGGGAUCCAUGCUGUAGCUCAGUGGUAUCAUCAUUCUGCCAAACGGGCUCCGUACUUUUUUCAAGGACCAACUUGAUUUUUACAAUGAAACCAGCUAUUUUUCCUUUUUACCCCUCUCUGCCUUCCUGAAGGUAAAUACUGUCUGCCGACGAGGAGACCGAUGGAUAGUAAAGGACCCUGAGUUUUCCGAGGCCAGCAGGGUCGUCUCUUACUCCCGUCAAACCCUGAGUUGGAUCCACACCUGAGUUUAUGCUAAUGAGGUGUCUUAGGGUGGGGCUCCUAGGUAGCUCGAGGGUGGGACCGGCUACCUGAAAGAACACAAAUGAUUGGCUGGUGAGAAGUUUCAGCCCCACCCACCAACUUCGGGAGGGGCGAGGGACUGGAGGUGGAGCUCUGAAAACGGAGGACGGGUGCCCAGGGAGGUCCCUGAAGCUCCCACCACCACCGUGUGCGCCCUGCCCUACUUCUCUCUUCCGCCUGGGAGUUCCUGGGUUAUAGCCUAUAUAAUAAAACGGCAGGCUUGA